rnacentral:snRNA from 1 species
UUGUAGUACAUCCAAGAUCCAUGGCAGGAUAUACACAUACGCUAAGACUGGAAUGAUACAGAGAAGAUUGUCAUGGCCCCUGAGCAAGGAUGAUAAGUUCAUGAAGCAUUCCAUACUUAA